CCUACGGGCGACAGCAGUGAGGAAUAUUGGUCAAUGGACGAGAGUCUGAACCAGCCAAGUAGCGUGAAGGAUGACUGCCCUAUGGGUUGUAAACUUCUUUUAUAUGGGAAUAAAAUGUUCCACGUGUGGGAUUUUGUAUGUACCAUAUGAAUAAGGAUCGGCUAACUCCGUGCCAGCAGCCGCGGUAAUACGGAGGGUCCGAGCGUUAUCCGGAUUUAUUGGGUUUAAAGGGAGCGUAGGUGGAUUGUUAAGUCAGUUGUGAAAGUUUGCGGCUCAACCGUAAAAUUGCAGUUGAAACUGGCAGUCUUGAGUACAGUAGAGGUGGGCGGAAUUCGUGGUGUAGCGGUGAAAUGCUUAGAUAUCACGAAGAACUCCGAUUGCGAAGGCAGUUCACUGGACUGCAACUGACACUGAGGCUCGAAAGUGUGGGUAUCAAACAGGAUUAGAUACCCGAGUAGUC
rnacentral:rRNA from 1 species